GGAGGAGGGAGGCCGGCUCGCGGAGCCGGAGAGCGCGGCCGGCUCGGCAGCCUGGGACCCGAGCUCGCGGCUUCCGGGAGGCGCCCGAGGCCGGAUAAAUACAUCCCGGGCUCCCGGGGAGAAGCGGACGCUGCCCGCACCGCCGCCCGCGCCGCCCGCACAGCUGUCCGCAGGGCACCGAGCCGCCCGGCUUAGGCGCGACGCCCGCUCCUCCUCCUCCUGCGGCCGGCGCGGAGCAGCGGAGAGCGGCGGCCUCGGCCGCCGGCGCCCGGGCCGCGGAGCCGAUGAGCGGCGGCGGCUGAGGGCCCGGGCCGGCCUCUGCCCGCCCUCUGCCCGGCGCCCGAGCGGGGCCGCAGCGCUCGGGGCGCAGGGUCGGGGCCGGUGACAUGGGGGCGGACUGAAGCAGUCGGGGCGGCCGAGCGCUCUCUCUCGAGCCGCGGGCCCUCCUCCGCGGCGGCGGCGGCGGCUGCGGGCGCCCGGCCCGGCGCGCUCUGCCCGGGGCGCCCGCGGGAGCCUCCGCCGCGCUUCUAUGCGCCUCUGCGGGCGCCGUGGGCCCCGGCCAUGGCGAUAGACCGGCGGCGCGAGGCGGCGGGCGGCGGGCCCGGGCGGCAGCCGCCCCCGGCCGAGGAGAACGGCUCCCUGCCGCCCGGGGACGCGGCGGCCUCGGCGCCCCUCGGGGGACGCGCGGGCCCCGGCGGCGGUGGCGGGGAGAUCCAGCCGCUGCCCGCGCCGCAUCCCGCCGCCGGCGGCCCGCACUCGGGCUGCAGCUCGGCGGCGGCGGCGGCGGGGGCCCCGAGCCUCCUGUUGCUGGACUACGACGGGUCGGUGCUGCCCUUCCUCGGGGGCCUGGGCGGGGGCUACCAGAAGACCCUCGUGCUGCUCACCUGGAUCCCGGCGCUGUUCAUCGGCUUCAGCCAGUUCUCGGACUCUUUCCUCUUGGACCAGCCGAACUUCUGGUGCCGCGGGGCCGGCAAAGGCGCGGAGCUGGCGGGGGUCACCGCCACCGGCCUGUGGGACGCCGGCGACGUGGCCAACUGGACCAGCCCCCCGACCACCCCCUUCUCCACUGCCUCCUGGGGGGCCGCGGGCAACCUUAGCAACGGCAGCGGCGCGGACGGGGGUGACACGCCACCCCUGCCGUCCCCUCCGGACAAGGGGGACAACGCCUCCAACUGCGACUGCCACGCGUGGGACUACGGCAUCCGCACAGGCCUCGUCCAAAACGUGGUCAGCAAGCUGUGUGGUGGUCAGAGUGCACCCUGCCCCUCUCCACCCCGGAGCUGUGUCUGACGCAUCUUCUACCCACGAAGUCUUCCCUGAGACUCCCUGAGCUCACCUGAAUCUGCAACCAUGAAAGAAGAAGAAGGGCUUUUCCGUCUGGCAGGAGUGGGUUCAGGUCCUGAUGGCUGCUGAGGACCAGCAGAUAUUAGCAACAGCCAUGACAGUCACAGGUCACUGGUCACAGGACUCCAAAGGAUCUGAAAAGGAAAAGGCUUUUCUGGCCGACCUCGAGGAACCGGAGAGCAGGGUUCUGCCAGGGGCUUCACACCCCCACAGAGGUUUUGGCUCAGGAACUUGAGGUCAUGCCGUUGGAUGGAGAACCAUCUACACGUGUUAAAAAGUCUGGGCUGGCUGUGCUGGUGGAUCAGAGAAACUGUGGAAUUUUAGAGGGGUUGGUGGUAGGUUUGGACCUCGGUGGCAGGCGUCAGAGAGCUCACCUCAGGGGCAGGUGGAAACCGUGCAGAGGGCCAGGCGCCCCCCGAGGGCUGCCCCACCCACCCCGAACGCUGUCCUUGCUGACUUGUCAUGAGAGGGCAGUGACUGACCUCUAGCCUUCAGACCUUGAUCAUCUGUGACUGGGGGCUUGUCCUUUCAUUUGCUCAAGGCUGCUCAGUGCUGAUCAUUAUGUGUAGGCAGAUGUUCCUCCAAACAAGUGACCUAGAGAUUGGCAAGGCCUCUAUUUCUGGGAAAGAGGGGCAAUGGUUAUUGACCGAUUGAGCUGGGUUCCCCUAAAAUAAAUCACUGCUGAAAUAGAAUACUGCCUGAGGCCACUCCAUUUACACAGGAUUAGAUUCUAUAAAACCUCUCGUAUGACUCUUGGUUGCAAGUGAGGAAAACAAAUUUCACAUUACAUUAACAAAAUAGAAAAGAAAUGUAUAGGAAAGAUGCAGGAAUGGCUCAGGGAACCUAGGGUGGGAUCUGAAACCAGAAAAUUGUGGGGGAGGGGUUGAAUCAGGAGCCCUGGUGCCACCGCCCUCUGUCAGGAGUCACGUGUGCUCUCAGCCCUUUCUCCAGAAGUCAGCUUUGUUCCCUCUACAGGCUGACUUUGCCCAUGCUUUUGCUUACCUGGUCAGGCACUGGUCAGCACAGAGGCGCUGCAUUCCUCUGUCCAUUCCAGAUUCCUGGGUGCAAAUCUGAUGUCCAGGCAGGUUUCAGAGUAGAGGAUGUGGUUACCCAGCCCUGGGGGUCUCCUGCAGACCAUGUGGCAGGGGGUGGUAGUAGCUAUUCUUCAUUGGGAUGGAAGGGAUUAGAGAUGAAUCUUUUUGGCAGUUAAUCGAGAAUAAUUGAACAUUGAUGAUUGAACCAUUACAUACUUAAAAGUAUUCUUUUUCUUCCCAAAGACUCAGGAUAUAACUUACCUGGCAGCUUAAGCUUAGUAUGGAAUUGGCUGGGAUACUCCUCCUGAGGCUUCUUUUCUAGAAACAGUGAUACAUGGUCUCAGUUAUUAGCUCCAGAUCACAGAGAGAGCUUGGAACAAGCCCUUGGGCAGUCACUGAAACAGUUUUACAAAUCGUUCCCCCCACCCCUGACCCCACACAGGGUGUCUGUUUUUCCAAACCUUUCUGCUGGUCUCAGGACCAGCUACAUCAUUUGUGGGGCCCGGUGCAAAAUGAAAAUGCACAACCCCUCAUCCAAAAAUUACUAAGAUCAAGAGAGUGACAGCCUAGCUUUAAGCCAGAUGUGGGCCCUUCUGAGCGGUGGUGCUUCUCGUGGGGGCUCCAGCCCAUUGUCUCUCACAAAGCCAGCUGUCACGGCUGCAGAGCUAAGCAAGGAUCCCCGAGCCCUUCAAGUCUUUCUUCCUGAUUUUUCAGUGUCUUUCCUGCUUCUCUGUGCCUUGGUUGUGUUUUAUAUCUUUUUCUAGAUGUCUUGUAGUCAGAGUGCAACAUACUUUUUGUGCGUCUGUUUUUCCCAGGGAACAGCUUCACAAAGCCCUAGCCAGUUUUGUGUUGAAUGUUUAGUUCACUCAAGGUAUGCAGCAAGAAGGAGCCACGGAGGGAGCCUUCUUACAUUUGAAAACACUGCCCCAGAAGUGAGACAGUUGGUUUACUUAUCUGAGCAGUGAACCAAACAGCUGAGUCAUAGGAAUGUGUGGUAAAGAAUGUUAAGUCAUAGGAAUGCUACUUAAGUGUUUGUCUGCCUUUUAUUUAUUUAUAUUUUUAAAUGGAGAGGAUGGUCAGUCCUUUGUCUAAUUUAAUUCUGCCAAAAGCGAACAGUCACACUUUAUUUCUUGGUAUCAUUUAAAGAAGUGCAAAGGAGAUGAUGCUUGAAUCAAGCAGCUCAGACGUCCCAGUGGUCAUAUUAAAUUAUGGCUGGGUUAUGCACUCAGCAUAGUAAUUUGCACUACAGAGUGUUUCCUCCCAGAUUAGAUUAAAAGCUGCUUUUUCUCUGUGUGUUUAAAAGAUGCUUUACAAAUUGGGCACCCUUGAUUGUUACAUACUGAGGAACUCCACUGUUCUCCAAUGAAUAUACAUGAGCGUUUGCAGUGGACACAAAGUUUUUGUCCUACUUUUUAAAAAGUUUUUUUUUUUUUAAUUGUAAAAUCCACAUAACAUAAAAUGUACCAUUUUAACCAUGUUUACGUGUACAACUGAGUGGGAUGAAAUACAGUCACAGUGUGCUGUGCCGUCAUCGCCACCAUCCAUCUCCGGGACUUUGUCGUCUUUCCAAACUGACACUCUGUCCCCAUUCACCGCUAAGUGCCCAGCCCCCUCCGCCUCCCCCUGCCCCUGCCCCUGGCAACCACCACUGCACUUUCUCUCUCUGAAUCUGACUACUCCAGGGACCUCACCUCAGCGGAGCCAUUCUAGUCCUUGCUCUUUUGUGACUGGCUUUAUUUUACUUGGUGGAAUGUUCUCAGGGUUCAUCCACAUUGUAGCAUGUGUCAGGAUUUCCUUCCUUUUUUUUUAAGGCCGAACCAUAUUCUGUGCUAGGUAUAGACCACAUUUUGUUUAUCCAUUCAUCCACUGAUGGACCAUUGGGUUGCUUCCACCUUUUGGCUGUUGGAAAUAAUGCUGCUGUGGACAUAGGUGUCGUUCUGCUUUUUGAAGACUGCUUCGUACAACCCCUUCAUCCCUCCCCUCCCCCGUUAGAGGUGAUUUCUGCAGUCACUUGUGUGGUGCCUGGCUCUGGUCCUUCUGUCAGAACAUCUGUUCUGUAGGCAGGCCUUCUGCUCCGCCUUGGGUGGGUGACACAGAUGGGUAGAAGAUGGUCUCUGCCUUGAAGAAGGAGCUCGUGGUGUAGCCAAGACAGCUGGUAAAUGGAGGAUUCUAGGCCCAGUGUGGGACCAGCUGAGUCGAGCGUGUGAGGGCCGGGAGCUGAGGGUGAGGGGUGCAGAAGAGCUCAGGCCCAAGAAAGCCCGCGAGGUAUGUGCUCGGCCCUGGGAGUUCCCACCAUGGCAGGGGGAGCCGGGUGCUGCAGCCUUUGAGCUGGGCCCUGAAGGAGGGCUGGGGUCUUGAAAGAUAGAAAGGGCCUCAUCUGCGGAGGAGCUAACACAGGCUGGGAAGGGACUAGUGCAGGGCGCGGAGGGGGACACCUGCAGCAGAACUUGGGGCCCGACUGCCCAGGCCCCCACAGUCCGUCCUUGGGGAUCGGUUGGGUUUUCCCCCAGUAGACAAUGAGUUAUCUGAGAUUUGUAAUGGAGAAACGAGAGUAGAGACCCAGGGCAGAAGAACCCCCGGGCCCAGGCUGGGUCCAUGUGGCACUGUGUCCUCAGGACCCAUACAGCAGGCCUCUUGGCUUCUGUCCGGCCGCCGUAUGCUGCCCCUGGAGCACGCAUGUUGGUGUGGGCCUCCGUGAGAGCCCUCGCAAAGCCCCCGUCACAAGCCUGGCCACAUCCCAGGGGCUACGGCCCUCGCACUGUCUGUGUGUCCGUGCUCUUGGGAGGCGCCAGCUUCGCCCAGCGUCCCUGCCUUGCCUGCUGGGCCUCGUGGUCUCUGCGCCCCAGAUGGUGUCAAGCCUGCCUGAUGCCAGGUCCCUGGAACUGCUUUGGCGGUCUCGGUCAACCUCUGCAGGGCGUUGCCGAUGACUGCUCAGUCCUUGACACUCUCUCCUUGGGAUUGGCGGGGGGAGGCUGCUUUUCCGGAUUUUUCUUGUGCUCUGCUGGUUGCUCUUCUCCUUCGAGAAUCCUUUCCACCACCUGCUCCCUUCAGAUGGUUCCCCAGAGUCUCAGUCAGCUCAGGCUGCAUAACAAGUACCACAGAUGGGCUGGGGGUGAGGGGGGGCUAACAGACAUUUAGCUCCUCUCGGGUCUAAAUGCUGGAAGUCUGAGAUCAAGUGUCGGCAGGGCUGUUCCUUCUGAGGCCUCUCUCCCUGGCUUGCGCAUGCCGCCUUCUCCCUGGGUCCUCACACGGGCUUCCCUCUGUGUGCGUCUGUGGUCUAGUCUCUUUUUACAAGGACACCAGUCCUGUUGGAUUAUGGCCCAUCCCAAUGACCUCAUUUUAAGUUAAUUACCUCUGUAAAGGCCCUGUCUCCAAAUACAGUCACGUUCUGAGGUACAAAGGGUCAGGACUCAACAUUUGAGGCUUUGGGGUUUUGGGGGGGUUUUUUGGGGGAGGGGACAUAGUUCAGCCCCUAAUAUCUGAGUUCCAGCACACACCCUAAGUAGGGCAGUGGCAGAUCUUUCUCUGUAACCCGGAUGUCUCCUCAGAGCCCUAGCUCUGUGUGUUUGGUUACCUGCUAGACCAGACCUCUCAUCUGGCCCCUGGCCCCUGAUCUUAUCUACCCCCCUUGCCUCAAAUCCCAGUGAUUUUGAUUCUAAAUUGACGAUGAAAAGCUUUUUUUUUUUUACUUCCUUGCUUCAGAUCCAUGACCUUCAGGAUGAAGUUAGGCCUGGUUGGCUGGUUUUCAAGGUCCCUGAUGGUCUGUCUGCACCCUGCAUGCUUCUCUUGCAUGGGCCCCCAUCACGGUCGUGCAGGGACCCUGUGCUCUAGCCCCCAGUUUCUCAAACAACACUUGAUCUUUGCAAGUGGUGCUCCUUCAGUCCAGAAUCCACCUGCCAUCCCCCAUCAUCCCAUCACCUUCUUAAGGCCUUUCCUGGCUCCCUAUUUCCGCCCCCUACCCACCAAUCCUCCACCCCUGCUUUCCUGGCCCAGAUCUGUAUCCUCAGCACCUGGCUCUAGUAGGUGCUCAAUUAACAUUUCUCAAAUGGCAAAGGUAAACAGAUAGUAAAGGGGCCAUUACUCUCAUCUGGGCAAGGUAAGGUGAUUUAAUUCUAGGAUGAGAAGAAGAGGAAGAGGACAGUGGUACAUAGGUCAACUCAGACCAAAAGUCAAAUUCCAGUGAGUUUAUUGAAAGCUAAGAAAUAGCAGCUAAUCAAACUUGAAUUCCUACCGGGCUCUGGAACGGGUUAUAUGUUGGCUUUAGUCACCGUUUUUCAGAACUUUAAGUCCCAGGGCUUUUUCUUCUCAUGAAAGUGACAUACUGAACGGGUCUGAAUCUAGGAUGGCAGUGUUGGUGGCUAGAGCUCUCAGAGUCACCUGGGAGCUUUUGGAACUUGGGAUCCAGGCAUCAGUUGUUUAAAAAAGUUCACUAGAUGAUUUCCAGGGGGAUACCCCCCAGGGGACAUUGGCCAAUGUCUGGAAAUAGCCGAGAAAGGGGAUGCUACUGGCGUCCCCUGGGUAGAGACCAGGGAUGCUGCUGAAUAUCCCACAAUGCACGGGACAGCCCCCGCAGCAAAGAAUGAUCCAGUUGAGCAUGCCAAGUCUGAGAAAUCCUGGUGGAGGCUAAUACAAAAGUUCAUUGUAUUUUCUGACCAUACCCGACAGAUGGCCGGGUCAGCCGGGGUGAGACCUUGGCUCCUUUGUAACCCACAAGGGGAGCAUUGGUAUGCGGGCUCAGGAGCUAUAGAAGGGCGAUUCAUCACACCAGAAUUAUCGCAGUGCGGCCACGGCCCGUUUGCCCUCUGUGAAGAAAGGGUUUGCUAAGUGCAUAAAUGGUGUAAACUGAGGGUCAGCAGGCACGUUUAGCUUACCUAGGGAAGCACAUUAUGAAACACUGCCUUAGCAUAUUUAUGUACAAAUGAAUGUUGCUAAUGACCAAGUCACUCAUUAAAGUAGGUCCUUUGAACCUCUGCUUGGAAUAAUGGUUAAUUACUUGAAAAGGAAACAUUUAUUUGGAAGUAAAGGUAUUUAUUUUCAAAAUGCCUCUAAUUCAGACUAGUCU